rnacentral:rRNA from 1 species
GAUGAACGCUGGCGGCGUUCCUAAUACAUGCAAGUCGAGCGAGCGGCGGACGGGUGCGUAAUGUCUGGGACACUGCCUGAUGGAGGGGGAUAACUACUGGAAACGGUAGCUAAUACCGCAUACCAUCAGAUGUGCCCAGAUGGGAUUAGCUAUUAGGUGGGGUAACGUCUCACCUAGGCGACGAUCCCUAGCUGGUCUGAGAGGAUGACCAGCCAAACUGGACCUGAGAAACGGUCCAGAUGCCUACGGGAGGCAGCAGUGGGGAAUAUUGCACAAUGGGCGCAAGCCUGAUGCAGCCAUGCCGCGUGUAUGAAGAAGGCCUUCGGGUUGUAAAGUACUUUCAGCGGGGAGGCGUUACCCGCAGAAGAAGCACCGGCUAACUCCGUGCCAGCAGCCGCGGUAAUUC